AUUGAACGCUGGCGGCAGGCCUAACACAUGCAAGUCGAGCGGAGGAAGGGAGCUUGCUUCCGGAUUCAGUGGCGGACGGGCGAGUAAUGCCUAGGAAUCUGCUUGGCAGUGGGGGAUAACGUCCGGAAACGGGCGCUAAUACCGCAUACGUCCUGAGGGAGAAAGUGGGGGAUCUUCGGACCUAACGCCAUUAGAUGAGCCUAGGUCGGAUUAGCUAGUUGGUGGGGUAAAGGCCUACCAAGGCGACGAUCCGUAACUGGUCUGAGAGGAUGAUCAGUCACACUGGAACUGAGACACGGUCCAGACUCCUACGGGAGGCAGCAGUGGGGAAUAUUGGACAAUGGGCGAAAGCCUGAUCCAGCCAUGCCGCGUGUGUGAAGAAGGUCUUCGGAUUGUAAAGCACUUUAAGUUGGGAGGAAGGGCAGUAAGUUAAUACCUUGCUGUUUUGACGUUACCAACAGAAUAAGCACCGGCUAACUUCGUG
rnacentral:rRNA from 1 species